rnacentral:rRNA from 1 species
GACGAACGCUUGCGGCGUGCUUAACACAUGCAAGUCGAACGGAAAGGCCCUGCUUUUGUGGGGUGCUCGAGUGGCGAACGGGUGAGUAACACGUGAGUAACCUGCCCUUGACUUUGGGAUAACUUCAGGAAACUGGGGCUAAUACCGGAUAGGAGCUCCUGCUGCAUGGUGGGGGUUGGAAAGUUUCGGCGGUUGGGGAUGGACUUGCGGCUUAUCAGCUUGUUGGUGGGGUAGUGGCUUACCAAGGCUUUGACGGGUAGCCGGCCUGAGAGGGUGACCGGCCACAUUGGGACUGAGAUACGGCCCAGACUCCUACGGGAGGCAGCAGUGGGGAAUAUUGCACAAUGGGCGGAAGCCUGAUGCAGCAACGCCGCGUGCGGGAUGACGGCCUUCGGGUUGUAAACCGCUUUCGCCCGUGACGAAGCGUGAGUGACGGUAAUGGGUAAAGAAGCACCGGCUAACUACGUGCCAGCAGCCGCGGUGAUACGUAGGGUGCGAGCGUUGUCCGGAUUUAUUGGGCGUAAAGGGCUCGUAGGUGGUUGAUCGCGUCGGAAGUGUAAUCUUGGGGCUUAACCCUGAGCGUGCUUUCGAUACGGGUUGACUUGAGGAAGGUAGGGGAGAAUGGAAUUCCUGGUGGAGCGGUGGAAUGCGCAGAUAUCAGGAGGAACACCAGUGGCGAAGGCGGUUCUCUGGGCCUUUCCUGACGCUGAGGAGCGAAAGCGUGGGGAGCGAACAGGCUUAGAUACCCUGGUAGUCCACGCUGUAAACGGUGGGUACUAGGUGUGGGGUCCAUUCCACGGGUUCCGUGCCGUAGCUAACGCUUUAAGUACCCCGCCUGGGGAGUACGGCCGCAAGGCUAAAACUCAAAGGAAUUGACGGGGCCCCGCACAAGCGGCGGAGCAUGCGGAUUAAUUCGAUGCAACGCGUAGAACCUUACCUGGGUUUGACAUGGGUCGGGAGCGCUCGGAGAUGGGUGUGCCUCUUUUGGGGUCGGUUCACAGGUGGUGCAUGGCUGUCGUCAGCUCGUGUCGUGAGAUGUUGGGUUAAGUCCCGCAACGAGCGCAACCCUUGUUCACUGUUGCCAGCACGUUAUGGUGGGGACUCAGUGGAGACCGCCGGGGUCAACUCGGAGGAAGGUGGGGAUGACGUCAAGUCAUCAUGCCCCUUAUGUCCAGGGCUUCACGCAUGCUACAAUGGCUGGUACAGAGAGUGGCGAGCCUGUGAGGGUGAGCGAAUCUCGGAAAGCCGGUCUCAGUUCGGAUUGGGGUCUGCAACUCGACCUCAUGAAGUCGGAGUCGCUAGUAAUCGCAGAUCAGCAACGCUGCGGUGAAUACGUUCCCGGGGCU